rnacentral:pre_miRNA from 1 species
UCUUGAUGCCUAACUGAAUAUUCUUAAAGCCUUACCAUUGUUAAGGCAACAUCAUUGUGAUGUGAAAAAUGGGAAUGCUUUAAGAAUUUCAGUUAUGCAUCAAUC